AAUGAAGUAAUAAGGAAGAGACGAGGGGUGUCAAAUCGCCCACCAGAUCCCAGAUUGGAGGAAUCCUCAGCGAGGCGACACAAAGGCUGUCCUCUGAGGCGGAGGUUGAUGAUUCCUGACUGACUUCUGGACAUCUGUCAUGUUGGGAUGUCAGUUUUAUUCAGGUGUUUUCAGAUCACGGCUGCAGAGGAACACCGAACCAAACCGGAUGUACAACAGUCAGGAGCACAAGAAACGGAAAAGUGACUAAAACAUGAAUCAGAGGGAGAAUACACACAGAGGACUAGGGCUGCAACCAAGAUGCCAAUUAACAAUUCAAUUCCUUUUUUAAAUAGGAAAAUAAGCAUUUUAUUGUCUAAAAUGCAAUAACAUAGCAUUUCUCUACUAUGUGCUUGAUCAUUUAUAGCAAAGGAUGAAUCUGUAGCUAAAAAAAUACUUCUAUGUAAAAAGCUCAGGCCUUUCUGCUUGAAAUGACAUUAAUACAGUGCAGGGCUGAUCUGGUGAUGAAUAUUAUUAUUAUUAUUUCAUUGACCAAUUAA